rnacentral:lncRNA from 1 species
UUAUUGAUUUUUUGUUGUAUGUUCCAAUAGAAAAUGAGAGAAAAAUAUUUAUAUAAAUGGUUUUGUUUUCCAGCCGGCAGGUGUAAUGGUGAUGUUUCUGAGCAGGAUAGUCUGGUUCCUCUACGAGAAAUGGCCGUCAGAUUGCUGGAGGAUGAAGAUGUGUCUGUGCUCAUGGGAAUCUGUAGGAGGGUAAGAGAGAUGACGGUGAUCAUAUAAUUUUCCAAAGCGACUGAAGACUGAUGUGCUCUUCUGACAGUAUUUAUCAGAGCGAGGCCUGCAGACGCUUGUUCAUCCGCUGCUGGCCAUCCUAAACACACCAGAGAAGCUUCUGCUGCUUCGAGAAAUCAGGACGCUCGUCUCCACUAGUGAUCUUCCACUCUUCAAUAGCAUGGUGUCUCCAUUUGAAGAGGAAGCAUAUGAUAUCCUGAAGAGUCGCUCGCGCAGGAGUUCUCCUCUGCGCUCUCCGCAGACGGGACUCGCUCCUCGACGGCACCUCAUCACACCUGUACCAGAUCUGCAGGGUGGAUUCGAGCUGCAGGCCGCAGACGAUAUAAAGAGGCAGAAUCAGCUUCUGGAGAGUCUGGAGCUCCUGCGUUUAUCCUGCUGUCCUGCAGAUCAACCCAGAUCCUUCAGUCCCCUGCUGGACGUCCCGCUGGACACUUUCGGUCCUUCAGACUCUGUGAAUUCCUCCAGGACGAAGGCGCUGCUGCCAAACUGGCUGCUGACAGAGAACAGACGCUCAGAGAGGUAAAGUCUAGAAGGGAUACAGCUCUAGAAACUCG